UACGGAGGGUGCAAGCGUUGUCCGGAAUCACUGGGCGUAAAGGGCGCGUAGGCGGCUCAUGAAGGCUGUGGUGAAAGUCCGGGGCUCAACCUCGGAUCGGCCGUGGCGACUCGUGGGCUGGAGCACUGUAGAGGCGGGUGGAAUUCCGGGUGUAGCGGUGGAAUGCGUAGAGACCCGGAGGAACACCAGUGGCGAAGGCGGCGUCCUGGCCUGCGACUGACGCUGUGGCGCGAAAGCUAGGGGAGCGAACGGG
rnacentral:rRNA from 1 species